AUGGCCAGAAAAUGCAGACAUGCCUUGGACACAUUUUGGAGACAAUUUUGAGGGGUUUUGAGACUCUGUUUACUAUCAGGACUUAAAGAAUUUCAGCAUCUAUAAAUAGAGGGGUUUGGUAAUAGAAAAAAAAAAGUAGAAAAGUAGAGAAAAUGGAGCAAAAAAAUAAAGAGAAUUAUAGGAGAUCUAAGGAGAAGAAGAAGAGAAGCCAAGCAUGCUCCAAAGAGUUUGAAGGAAGAAGGAGAGAUCAUUAACCAUCUUCUCGAUA
rnacentral:lncRNA from 1 species